CCAAGGUUGGCCGUACUUCGCCUGUUUGUCGACUUGGUAGCACAGAGAGCUUGCUCUCGGGUGACGAGCGGCGGACGGGUGAGUAAUGUCUGGGAAACUGCCUGAUGGAGGGGGAUAACUACUGGAAACGGUAGCUAAUACCGCAUAAUGUCGCAAGACCAAAGUGGGGGACCUUCGGGCCUCAUGCCAUCAGAUGUGCCCAGAUGGGAUUAGCUAGUAGGUGGGGUAACGGCUCACCUAGGCGACGAUCCCUAGCUGGUCUGAGAGGAUGACCAGCCACACUGGAACUGAGACACGGUCCAGACUCCUACGGGAGGCAGCAGUGGGGAAUAUUGCACAAUGGGCGCAAGCCUGAUGCAGCCAUGCCGCGUGUGUGAAGAAGGCCUUCGGGUUGUAAAGCACUUUCAGCGGGGAGGAAGGCGUUAAGGUUAAUAACCUCGUCGAUUGACGUUACCCGCAGAAGAAGCACCGGCUAACUCCGUGCCAGCAGCCGCGGUAAUACGGAGGGUGCAAGCGUUAAUCGGAAUUACUGGGCGUAAAGCGCACGCAGGCGGUCUGUAAGUCGGAUG
rnacentral:rRNA from 1 species